rnacentral:rRNA from 1 species
CCCUUAGAUGUUCUGGGCCGCACGCGCGCUACACUGACAGAGCCAACGAGUUCUUUCCCUUGGCCGGAAGGUCUGGGUAAUCUUGUUAAACUCUGUCGUGCUGGGGAUAGAGCAUUGCAAUUAUUGCUCUUCAACGAGGAAUGCCUAGUAAGCGCGUGUCAUCAGCACGCGUUGAUUACGUCCCUGCCCUUUGUACACACCGCCCGUCGCUACUACCGAUUGAAUGGCUCAGUGAGGCCUUCGGACUGGCUCGAGGAGGUUGGCAACGACCACCUCAAGCCGGAAAGUUGGUCAAACUCGGUCAUUUAGAGGAAGUAAAANUCGUAACA